UCCCAUGUGGCUCAAUGGGUAGAGUGUGGCGCUUGUAACGUCAGGGUUUUGGGUUUGAUUCCCACGAGGGGAC
rnacentral:tRNA from 1 species